UACGUAGGGUGCGAGCGUUAAUCGGAAUUACUGGGCGUAAAGCGUGCGCAGGCGGUUUUGUAAGCCAGAUGUGAAAUCCCCGGGCUUAACCUGGGAAUGGCAUUUGGGACUGCAAGGCUGGAGUACGGCAGAGGGGACUGGAAUUCCUGGUGUAGCAGUGAAAUGCGUAGAGAUCAGGAGGAAUACCGAUGGCGAAGGCAGGUCUCUGGGCUGAUACUGACGCUCAUGCACGAAAGCGUGGGGAGCAAACAGG
rnacentral:rRNA from 1 species